rnacentral:tRNA from 2 species
UGGUAGAGCAGAGGACUGAAAAUC